rnacentral:rRNA from 1 species
GAUGAACGCUGGCGGCAUGCCUAACACAUGCAAGUCUAGGGGUAGCAAUACCACUGGCGCACGGGUGAGUAACACGUAGGUUAUCUGCCCCCAUCACAGACAUAACCCCGGGAAACCGGGGCUAAUAUCUGAUGAGGUCGCGAGAUCAAAGCUUCGGCGGAUGGGGAUGAGCCUGCGGCUGAUUAGCUAGUUGGUGAGGUAAUGGCUCACCAAGGCGACGAUCAGUAGCUGGUCUGAGAGGACGAACAGCCACACUGGAACUGAGACACGGUCCAGACUCCUACGGGAGGCAGCAGUGAGGAAUAUUGGUCAAUGGGAGCAAUCCUGAACCAGCAAUGCCGCGUGUGGGAUGACAGGGCUUCGGCCUUGGUAAACCACUGUCGGACGGGACGAAAGGAGGCCUCGGGCC